GUGCCAGCCGCCGCGGUAAUACCGGCAGCCCAAGUGAUGGCCGCUAUUAUUGGGCCUAAAGCGUCCGUAGCUGGGUCUGAAAGUCCAUCGGGAAAUCCACUCGCUCAACGAGUGGCCGUCCGGUGGAAACUCCACACCUUGGGACCGGAAGGCUCGAAGGGUACGGCCGGGGUAGGAGUGAAAUCCUGUAAUCCCGUCCGGACCACCGAUGGCGAAAGCACUUCGAGAAAACGGAUCCGACAGUGAGGGACGAACGCUAGGGUCUCGAACCGGAUUAGAUACCCGGGUGGUC
rnacentral:rRNA from 1 species